GGCCAAAACGCGAAUGAACAUCGACCGUGGAAGUUGACUGCUGAAGUACAAAGCGCUAGGCUGAAGUAUACGAAAUUCAUGUGAGACUAGCGAGCCGCGGCCUCACUAGCCAAAGCCAGCCACUAAAACCAAAAAACAAAAAAAAAACAGGCAGCAGCAGGAGCAGCUCACACACACACACAUCGACAAGCGCCAGGACCCGCAUCAUCAUUCCUUCCUGCCAGGCCGUCGCCACUGCUGCCGCCCCUCCGCUCGCCCCGCAGGAGUCACGCUUCGUUAAACGCUGCUCAAAACCCAUCAUCUAACUAAUAAAGCGGACGAUAAACAAGCACAUUAAAUACCGAAGAGAGCGAAGUCGAGCUAUUAACGCUAGUCUGGAACGCAGAACAUUGGCAACAUUUUCGAAUAGGAG